rnacentral:lncRNA from 1 species
UAAACUAUCUGCUCAAAUAAUAACAAUUAUGUAAUUGAAAAUGUGAGAACAAAUCUUAAUCACAUAUCUCAUUUGAUCUGAAUACUUCAAAAUAAAAUGGCAUAAUUACAAACACUUUUAUUUUAAAAAUUUUGUUUUAAAACCAGAUAAACUAAUAAGCAACUUUUAGAGAAAAGUAGAGCAAGCAAUCUAAAGACCCACUAAUAUUAAAGCAUCGUCCAUCAAGCAUUCCACUCCACAUUGUUUUCAAAACAAUCCACCAGACUUGUAAGCAUCAUCCAUCUAGCAUUCCACUCCAUAUUAUAGGACCCGGUAAAAGGAAAACAAACAAAUGACCAUAACUUUAAUUAUAAUUAACUUGCUGAAAGUAACAUCAUGAUAUUAGAAAUUGUUGUCAUCAGCCUUUAAUAAAAUCUGCACUUCACUCUCAAAAAACUAGGAUUCUGUCAAAGUUUCUGCAAACAUCAAAAAUACAUUUAGAACACAAGCUUCAAACAUCUAUGAAAACUCUUAAUAGAAAACACACAAUACCUGUGGCAGACGGACCUGCUUCUUCCUCUUCAUCUUCAUCUUCAUCAUCAUCAUCAUCAUGGACAUAGACAUCAUCUGUAAUAUGUCUAAAGCAAGUGAUCACAAAACACCUAACUUUGGUCAAGGAUAUCAAAUAAUAAUACAAUAUAAACCUAGAUUCUAAGUUAGUAAAACAGUAGCAUGUUUAGGAUAUGGAUAAUCCUUAUAAGAUUUUCUUGUUAUGCCUCCAAGUAAGCAAACACUCCCAUUGGUUAAAGUAUAUGUAAUCGUAAAGUCUUCCUCAAGCAUCCAAUCAAGUAGUUGUUGUGGUCCCGUCCUAGGUUUAAGGGUUGCUAGUUUACGCCUUUUGUUUUUGCCAUGGACGUGCACAAUAACCUCAGCUACUUCCUCCUUAAUUUCUCCGAUUGUAGCCUGAUUACAAACAACUUUAGUUAGUUGUAUUGGUAGUUGUAAAUACAGCAAAUAAAUAGCAUAUCCCACUGUUUCUAAGACAUAAAGAUCGGCCUCCAAGCUUUACUUCUAACCGUUGAGCUCCUUUCACUUCAACACCUGAAUCAAAACAAUAUGGAAUAUUAUGAGUUUUCAACCAGGCAACAAUCACCACCAUAUUUGAAACCAUAGUCACAUGGAACGCGGUACGAUCCGGUACGGGAACAUGGAUCGGGAACGUGGUUCGCUAGCUUGGACGUAUCAGGUACGAGGGGGGUAGGUUCAUUUCGGUACGCCCGGUACGUCCUGAUACGGUGUAUCAUAGUAUCCGGUACGGUGUACCAUAGAGAAAAUUAAUUGUCUGUAAGCAUAGAGAAAAUUAAUUGUCUGUAAAUGUGUAUACUAUAAUCAAUUAAUAGUUUAAUACUCUAAUAAUGGAAUCGUUGAUUCUGUAAUGCCGACUGAAAUAUCAAAAUUCAAAUAAAUGGCUUAAAUUAAUGUAUUGAAAUCGUAUAUUGGUGUAUGGAUUUCUCAAUGUGAAUCGACGUCCCGUAUAAAAAAGAUAUACACGAUCAAUUGAUGGAAAUUAGGAGAUUUUGUUGCCAAAUACUCAGUCGAUCGUUCCAUGGCUUCAAUCGGCGAUCCCAUGGCUUCAAUCGACGAUCCCCAACGUCAAUCGGCGAUCUACAUCGCCGUUCCGAUAUCCAAAAAAAAGCGAAUUUCGGGAAGGUGGGUUCAAUUUUGAAAUCGCUCAAUCAAUCGAUCCAGGUCGCGUUCCCCAUGCGUUUGGAGCGAAAUCGUACCCCGAUCCAGCACGCACGAACUGGAACGAGGAUCGUGUCUAGUCAGGCGAUUUAUGUGACUAUGUUUGAAACAUAUUGCUGCAAAGAGUACCACUCCUAAAUGCAAUCUCAUAAAUCCGAUUUCAAACAAGGCAGGCUUUAGUAACAUGCAGAUGCAGGAGGCAGAUACAUAAAUACACAAACAGCAAAAACAUGUAAUUCAUAUACAUGUAACACACACCUCAAAAACAAAUUCUAACAGUCUUCCUUACUAACAUGGAAAAGAGACAACACAACUUUAAAUCUAGACCAAUACUUUCACAUCCUCUUUCCUAAUAACAAACACAAACUGGGAUAAAAUCAACACGGGAUCAAACACAUACCAGAACAACCUCCCCAAACACAAAUUCCUUCCGGUUAAUUUCCAUCACACACAAAAAAUAAAAAAAAAAUAACAUACAUACGAAGCCUCUACUAUCCACAUGAAACAUAAACAAACAAAGCUUGUGAACGAAACCACAACAAAACGAUGAAUAUCAUCAAGAUUGCAUCAUCAUCAAAACCAAAAGAAGGUCAAAAAAAAAACAAAUAUUUCAUUGAAUGAGCGUGUAGAUAUUCGAAAACAAAUGAAAGAGAGAUGAUUCGUUACCCCAAAACUUCAUUGUUUCAGAGGAGCAGUAGUUAGGAUUUUGACGAAAACGGAGAAAAUUAGAGUGACCGAGAGAGAGAAAAACAUUUGUUCCCUUUGUUUGUUUGUUGAUAAAUACAGAAAUCGGGUCAGGCCGGUUUGUGUUAUUAGAAAUGUC